UACGUAGGGUGCGAGCGUUGUCCGGAAUUAUUGGGCGUAAAGAGCUCGUAGGCGGUUUGUCACGUCUGCUGUGAAAUCCCGAGGCUCAACCUCGGGCCUGCAGUGGGUACGGGCAGACUGGAGUGCGGUAGGGGAGAAUGGAAUUCCUGGUGUAGCGGUGGAAUGCGCAGAUAUCAGGAGGAACACCGAUGGCGAAGGCAGUUCUCUGGGCCGUAACUGACGCUGAGGAGCGAAAGCGUGGGAGCGAACAGG
rnacentral:rRNA from 1 species